AUUGAACGCUGGCGGCAGGCCUAACACAUGCACUUCGAACGAGUGGCGGACGGGUGAGUAAUGUCUGGGAAACUGCCUGAUGGAGGGGGGUAACUACUGGAAACGGUAGCUACUCCCGCAUACCAUCAGAUGUGCCCAGAUGGGAUUAGCUUGUUGGUGGGGUAACGGCUCACCAAGACGUCGAUCCCUAGCUGGUCUGAGACGAUGACCAGCCACAAUGGAACAGAGACACGGUCCAGACGCCUACGGGAGCCAGCUGUGGGGAAUAUGGCACAAUGGGCGCAGGCCUGAUGCAGCCAUGCCGCGUGUAUGAAGAAGGCCUUCGGGUUGUAAAGUACUUUCAGCGGGGAGGCGUUACCCGCAGAAGAAGCACCGGCUAACUCCGUGCCAGCAGCCGCGGUAAUUC
rnacentral:rRNA from 1 species